CAACCCAUCAAGCGCUGCGCUUGUGUUGGAGCCCUGCGGCUGCCGCAGGCUCCCAAACCCAGUGGCGGGCUCGUCGUCGUACCGAGUGCAGUAAACUUACCACGCUCAGGGCACGCGACGGGUGACCGGCCGUAAAACCCCCAAACUUAUCAA
rnacentral:misc_RNA from 2 species